rnacentral:lncRNA from 1 species
GGGCUGGGGGGAUCACUCUAAGGACAGGGCUAGGGGUGACUCAUUCUAAGGACAGGGCUGGGGUGAAUCACUCUAAGGAAAGGGCUGGGAGUGAAUCACUCAAAGGACAGGGCUAGGGGUGAAUCACUCUAAGGACAGGGCUGGGGGUGAAUCACUCUAAGGACAGGACUGGGGUGAAUCACUCUAAGGACAGGGCUGGGUGUGAAUCACUCUAAGGACAGGGCUGGGGGUGAAUCACUCUAAGGACAGUUCUGGGGGGGAAUCAAUCUAAGGACAGGGCUGGGGUGAAUCACUCUACGGACAGGGCUGGGGGGGAAUCACUGCAAGGACAGGACUGGGGUGAAUCACUCUAAGGAAAGGGCUGGGUGUGAAUCACUCUAAGGACAUGGCUGAGGUGAAUCACUCUAAGGACAGGGCUAGGGGUGAAUCACUCUAUUUACAGGGCUGUGUUGAAUCACUCUAAGGACAGGGCUGGGGUUAAUCACUCUAAG